UUGAGGAAAAAGAUAGAUACUAUAAUUUAAAGCAUGAAUCGCCUUGGUGCAAUAUAAAUCAUAAUAUAAAUUAAAAUCUAGGGCAAACAUACAUCCCCAUGAAAGAAGUUCUGAAAUAUUCUGUGUUGUAGGAGGUUGGGAAAGCAACAGGCUGAAUUUAUUACUGGUUCUGUAUACGACAACCAUAGAAAGGAUGCUGCUUGAAGUUAAGGAAGUCACAAGAGGAGUUUGAAUUACCUUUUGUUUUCUGCUUCAGCAUCUAUACCUUUAAGUAAUUCAAAGGAGAAAGGAGUAUUAACCUUCAGUGGUGAGAACUGCUGAGUAUGAUAGAUGACCCAGAGAGGAUAGUUAUUAAUUUAUUCAUGUUUGUGUAUCUGCAGCACUGUACAAGUCUCUGUCAAAGGUCUAAUUUCUCUUCAAAGAAACCACCAGAAAAGUGGUCCAUACAGGCAAUGUGUUUGUACACAUUAGGACUCUAAUAUCCUACAAACAUCUUCCUGAGAUCAGCAGGUGCUCCUAAACUUUACUGUAGAACUGGAAAUAGAAAAAUCCUUAAUGUUUGUGAGAGGAUAGUAAAUACAAGGCAUGCUGCUAGUUUCUGACAGAACAGCAUCCCCUGCUUGUGUAAGUGUGCCUGUUUCUUGUUCAGCGGCAGUGCAGCUGGAGAGGAGUAUGUGAACCAGAACCAAUCUAUAAGGGAAAGGAGCUUGUCUGUCAGGAGUCUAAAACCUUUCCAUGGAUCCAGUGAAUGGAAUUGAGCUGCAGGGAAUCCCGGAACAGAUUUGCUGGAAAGGCCUCCGUUUGGAAGGACACCUCAAAUGGCCAGGUGUACAGUCCCCUCCCCUAAAGGUUGCCUUUUGUAUGCUGAUGUACAUAAACUACCUCAAGGUUUUCUUAAAGAAUAGUGGAAGCAGGCCCACUAGUUCUCCCAGGAGAAAAGUGCAGUGAG